UACGGAGGGUGCGAGCGUUGUCCGGAAUCACUGGGCGUAAAGGGCGCGUAGGCGGCUCGGUAAGUAGGGGGUGAAAUCCUGCGGCUUAACCGCAGGGCUGCCUUCUAAACUGUCGAGCUCGAGCACGGUAGAGGCAGAUGGAAUUCCCGGUGUAGCGGUGGAAUGCGUAGAGAUCGGGAAGAACAUCAGUGGCGAAGGCGGUCUGCUGGGCCGUUGCUGACGCUGAGGCGCGACAGCGUGGGGAGCAAACA
rnacentral:rRNA from 1 species